GCCCUAGUAGCUCAACGGCAGAGCGACUGACUUGUAAUCAGUAGGUUGGGAGUUCGAAUCUCCCCUAGGGCU
rnacentral:tRNA from 1 species